CGAUUGAACGCUGGCGGCAUGCUUUACACAUGCAAGUCGAACGGUAACAGGUCUUUCGGGAUGCUGACGAGUGGCGAACGGGUGAGUAAUGUAUCGGAACGUGCCCAGUAGUGGGGGAUAACUACUCGAAAGAGUGGCUAAUACCGCAUGAGAUCUCUGGAUGAAAGCGGGGGACCGUAAGGCCUCGCGCUACUGGAGCGGCCGAUAUCAGAUUAGGUAGUUGGUAGGGUAAGAGCCUACCAAGCCAACGAUCUGUAGCUGGUCUGAGAGGACGACCAGCCACACUGGGACUGAGACACGGCCCAGACUCCUACGGGAGGCAGCAGUGGGGAAUUUUGGACAAUGGGCGCAAGCCUGAUCCAGCAAUGCCGCGUGCAGGACGAAGGCCUUCGGGUUGUAAACUGCUUUUGUACGGAACGAAAAGCCUCUGGUUAAUACCUAGGGGUCAUGACGGUACCGUAAGAAUAAGCACCGGCUAACUACGUG
rnacentral:rRNA from 1 species